AGUGAACGCUGGCGGUAGGCCUAACACAUGCAAGUCGAACGGCAGCACAGUAAGAGCUUGCUCUUACGGGUGGCGAGUGGCGGACGGGUGAGGAAUACAUCGGAAUCUACUUUUUCGUGGGGGAUAACGUAGGGAAACUUACGCUAAUACCGCAUACGACCUACGGGUGAAAGCAGGGGAUCUUCGGACCUUGCGCGAUUGAAUGAGCCGAUGUCGGAUUAGCUAGUUGGCGGGGUAAAGGCCCACCAAGGCGACGAUCCGUAGCUGGUCUGAGAGGAUGAUCAGCCACACUGGAACUGAGACACGGUCCAGACGCCUACGGGAGGCAGCAGUGGGGAAUAUUGGACAAUGGGCGCAAGCCUGAUCCAGCCAUACCGCGUGGGUGAAGAAGGCCUUCGGGUGGUAAAGCCCUUUUGUUGGGAAAGAAAAGCGGCAGGUUAAUACCCCGCUGUUCUGACGGUACCCAAAGAAUAAGCACCGGCGAACUUCGU
rnacentral:rRNA from 1 species